UAGGGAAUCUUCCACAAUGGACGAAAGUCUGAUGGAGCAACGCCGCGUGAGUGAUGAAGGGUUUCGGCUCGUAAAACUCUGUUGUUGGAGAAGAACGGGUGUCAGAGUAACUGUUGACAUCGUGACGGUAUCCAACCAGAAAGCCACGGCUAACUACGUGCCAGCAGCCGCGGUAAUACGUAGGUGGCAAGCGUUGUCCGGAUUUAUUGGGCGUAAAGCGAGCGCAGGCGGUUUUUUAGGUCUGAUGUGAAAGCCUUCGGCUUAACCGGAGAAGUGCAUCGGAAACCGGGAGACUUGAGUGCAGAAGAGGACAGUGGAACUCCAUGUGUAGCGGUGAAAUGCGUAGAUAUAUGGAAGAACACCAGUGGCGAAGGCGGCUGUCUGGUCUGCAACUGACGCUGAGGCUCGAAAGCAUGGGUAGCGAACAGGAUUAGAUACCCUGGUAGUCCAUGCCGUAAACGAUGAGUGCUAAGUGUUGGAGGGUUUCCGC
rnacentral:rRNA from 1 species